rnacentral:rRNA from 1 species
GAUGAACGCUGGCGGCGUGCCUAAUACAUGCAAGUCGAGCGAACAGACGAGGAGCUUACUCCUCUGACGUUAGCGGCGGACGGGUGAGUAGCACGUGGAUAACCUACCUAUAAGACUGGGAUAACUUCGGGAAACCGGAGCUAAUACCGGAUAACAUGUUGAACCGCAUGGUUCAACAGUGAAAGACGGUCUUGCUGUCACUUAUAGACGGAUCCGCGUCGCAUUAGCUAGUUGGUAAGGUAACGGCUUACCAAGGCAACGAUGCGUAGCCGACCUGAGAGGGUGAUCGGCCACACUGGAACUGAGACACGGUCCAGACUCCUACGGGAGGCAGCAGUAGGGAAUCUUCCGCAAUGGGCGAAAGCCUGACGGAGCAACGCCGCGUGAGUGAAGAAGGUCUUCGGAUCGUAAAACUCUGUUAUUAGGGAAGAACAAAUGUGUAAGUAACUAUGCACGUCUUGACGGUACCUAAUCAGAAAGCCACGGCUAACUACGUG